CCGCCCCUUCCCUUCCCUGCCCGCCCCUUCCCUUCCCUGCCCGCCCCUUCCCUUCCCUGCACGCCCAGCAGCCCUCGCGCGGGGGGUGGAACGUUUCCUGCUUUCCUUGCGCCCGGAGCCAUCGGGGGGCGGCGUUGGGAGAGGGGGGCGCUGCAGACCUCGCAGCUCUUCGGUAAAACCAAGUCGAGGGACCGGCCCGUGCCGACAGCCCGGCUCCGGGAGCCUACGAGACAGAUGGAGAGGGACUUUUAAUAUGGGCAGGCAUAUAGUAUUUCCUCCCAGAAAAAGAUUGAGCAAGGAUUUGAAGAGGUCAGAAGAAAACUCAUCUCCAUCAAACAAUUCAAGAGAAGAAAAAUAUUUUUAUCUCUCACUGAUAACUGCUCCUUUUCCUUCCGCUGAGGAGUUAAUUCCGCAAGAAAUAAAUAAAACAGCUUCCUCAAGUGGACUUCAAUGUGAAAUUUAGAGUAAAGGGGCAUUUGUAGAAAAAUAGAGAAUCCCUAACCAGUAAAAGGCAUUUGCAUACAUACGCUAAAAGCAAUAUGUGAUAUUAAAGAUCUUGAUGAGGAUGGAUGCUACAAGCCCCCAAAAAUGGAGCAGGCAAGCAGAACCUACUGUAAUAGAAUGAGUAGAUACUUCUAAAUGCCACAAACAUGUCUUAAAUACCAGAUGUUCUCAAGAAGGCAACACUACUGAUAAUUGUAACAUCAAAUUGAAAUUUAAUUCCAGCCUCGUUUUUAGGUCUUGGGGGUUUUGACAGGUUUUGAAUAAAAACGUUUUAGGCAUGAUAUAUUUUGGCGUAUGCAACUGUCAUGCAUUGGCCCCACUUCUUCACUGUCCUCAAUUUCCAAACGCAUGGGACUUAUAACAGAAUGUGAAGAACUGCAGGCAAAGAUCAGGCCCCAGACAAUCAGGGGAGCCUCAGUGGCUUUUGAGAAGCUACACCGCAUAAACCUAUGACAGUAGUAGCACUCUUUCCAACAUUGACUUUAUGGUAUUUAAGUAUCAAAGUCUUGGCUUCAUCAGAAAAGGAAAAAAAAAAAAAGAAAAAAACACUACUUAAGACAAGUGUGAAUGCUCACGACCCAGGUAGGUUUUUUUGCCAUAAAAAAGCAGACAAAGAACCUUGCAUUAGCACAGAAUGCCAGAAUUCUCCCAGCUUUUGAGGCAUUCAAAUAGCAGUGCUAUUCCCAAAGCACAAAAAAAAGGCAAGAACACACACCAACACAGCUUGGAAACAGGUCAUCUUUAGUGUUCGAGUACAACUGGAGCAUUAUUGCAUUUAUGCACCUAUACUAUUCCUUAAACAAGUUUACUAUUAAGAAGUGAUGUAUUUUGAAUAAAUGUGCAACUAGGAGUAGUAGUAUGAUCCCUACAUUGAACAUGGAAGCCUUUGAAAUUACAAACCAUUAUAAGC